AACAAUAUAUUAUAAAUAGGCCUGAGUCAAACCGUUUAACCGACGGUUAUCCGACCGCAUUCAUCAAAACCGUUUAGCAUUUCUCGCUCCGGUUAACCGUUAUUUGCAUACAUUUUGGAAUGUGCUAAUAGCCGAUGAUAAAGAUAAUCAAAGAAACCGCAGUGUAAUGUUACACCCUGUCCGCUGCGCGCUAGCUUUCUGGCAGCAGUAAUCCCCAUGAAUGAAUUUGUAAACAAUAAAACAACCAGCCCCC